UGGCCUUGUCCAUCUGUGCUCCUUAGAGGAUUUCACAAUCCUUAGCCAGGACCUGUCCAUCAGUGUCCUCAAGACAAAAGAUUUCUCUGCCUUUGCCCAGGACUUGCCUGGACUUGUUCCUCAGCAAACUUUGAGUCAAUGAUAUAAAAGAAUAGUCUCUUACAAGAAUCCCCAUUUAAGUGAAAAUAACAUGUUUCCUCUUCGCAAAUUUCCCAUUUAAGCGAAAAUCACGCGUUUUCUCUUCGCAAAUCCCCCAUUUAAGCAAAAAUCACGCGUUUUCUCUUCUCAAAUCCCCCAUUUAACCCGAAAAUCACGCGUUUUCACUUCGCAAAUCCCCCAUUUAAGCGAAAAUCACGCGUUUUCUCUUCGAGAAUCCCCCAUUUAAGCAAAAAUCACGCGUUUUCUCUUCAGAAAUCCCCCAUUUAAGUGAAAAUCACGCGUUUUCUCUUCGCAAAUCCCCCAUUUAAGCCAAAAUCACGCGUUUUCUCUUCGCAAAUCCCCCAUUUAACCCGAAAAUCACGCGUUUUCUCUUCGCAAAUCCCCCAUUUAAGCGAAAAUCACGCGUUUUCUCUUCGAGAAUCCCCCAUUUAAGCAAAAAUCACGCGUUUUAAUCUUCGAGAAUCCCCAUUUAAGCAAAAAUCACGCGUUUUAUCUUCGCAAAUCCCCCAUUUAAGUGAAAAUCACGCGUUUUCUCUUCGCAAAUCCCCCAUUUAAGCGAAAAUCACGCGUUUUCUCUUCGCAAAUCCCCCAUUUAAGUGAAAAUAACAUGUUUCCUCUAUGCAAAUUUCCCAUUUAAGUGAAAAUCACGCGUUUUCUCUUCACAAAUCCCCCAUUUAACCGAAAAUCACGCGUUUUCUCUUCGCAAAUCCCCCAUUUAAGCGAAAAUCACGCGUUUUCUCUUCGAGAAUCCCCCAUUUAAGCAAAAUCACGCGUUUUCUCUUCAAGAAUCCCCCAUUUAAGUGAAAAUAACAUGUUUCCUCUUCGCAAAUUUCCCAUUUAAGUGAAUAUCAUGCAUUUUCUCUUCAGAAAUCCCCCAUUUAAGUGAAAAUCACGCGUUUUCUCUUCGAGAAUCCCCAUUUAAGCAAAAUCACGCGUUUUCUCUUCGCAAAUCCCCCAUUUAAGCGAAAAUCACGCGUUUUCUCUUCGCAAAUCCCCCAUUUAAGCGAAAAUCACGCGUUUUCUCUUCGAGAAUCCCCCAUUUAAGCGAAAAUCACGCGUUUUCUCAUCGAGAAUCCCCCAUUUAAGCAAAAAUCACGCGUUUUCUCUUCGAGAAUCCCCUAUUUAAGCGAAAAUCACGCGUUUUCUCUUCGAGAAUCCCCAUUUAAGCGAAAAUCACGCUUUU
ensembl:lncRNA